GACGAACGCUGGCGGCGUGCUUAACGCAUGCAAGUCGAACGGCAAGGCCCUGCGUUUGUGGGGUGCUCGAGUGGCGAACGGGUGAGGAACACGUGAGUAACCUGCCCUUGACUUUGGGAUAACUUCAGGAAACUGGGGCUAAUACCGGAUAGGAGCUCCUGCUGCAUGGUGGGGGUUGGAAAGUUUCGGCGGUUGGGGAUGGACUCGCGGCUUAUCAGCUUGUUGGUGGGGUAGUGGCUUACCAAGGCUUUGACGGGUAGCCGGCCUGGGAGGGUGACCGGCUCCAUAGGGCCAGGGGUAGGGCCCAUGCUGAAACGGGGGGCAGCGGCGGAGAAUAUUGCCCAAUGGGCGGAGUCCGGAUGGAGCAACGCCGGGUGGGGGAUGCCGGCUUUUGGGUAGGAAACCGAUUUGGCUUGUGCCGAAGCGUGCGUGAGGGUAAUGGGGAAAGAAGCACCGCCUACCUACGU
rnacentral:rRNA from 1 species